AUCGAAUCCGUUGUGUGAAACCGAUUUGUUUUUGGAUCUCCAACCGCGACAACGACAGCGAAUUGAUGUUUGUUGAUGUGUACUUAAAACCGACGACGAAGACGGUGAAGCUCCCAGUUAAUUCCUGUCAGACCGACUACUUCGAGAAGCAUAGGUUCGGUGACUCUUCUUCUUCUUCUUCGCCUUCAUACUCCUCGCAAAACGGAGAUCCGGCUGGGAGAAGUGGAUGUAAUUAGAUCUUUAUUCGAGAGAGCCAUUAGCUUGAGCUUGCCUCCUAAGAAGAUGAAGAGCUAGUAAGCAGAACAGCUAUGGCUGUCACGAGCUUUGCUCCUCCAUGGGUCAUCUUAAGACACGCUUUCCGGUCAUUAAGCAGAACACGCUAUGGCUGUAAUGUUCUCUUCUUGAGUUUUGUUCUUGUCUACAUCUGAGUGUGUUUUUCAAUUUAUAUGUGUUGUGGUCUCUUUUGUGAAGGGAAUGUAUUUUUCUAAUGCCACUUGAUUGAGUUUCUUUGUUUGGCUGGUUACUUUGCUAGGUCUUAUAUUGUUCAUGUUGUUGGGUUAGAAAGAUUGUAGAGAUGAGAUUGACGACAAACACCUAUCGUUGUUGGGUUACAAUCGUUGUUAAGUUACAACCCCAUGGAUGACCCUGCCAAGGGAGCAGCCAACUUCACCUCUCAGCUUAUCAUCAUGAACCACCCUGGUCAGAUUGGAAACGGUUAUGCUCCAGUCCUCUAUUGCCACACCUCAAGUGUUUUUUUUUUGUUUUUUUUAAAAAAGUUUUGUAGUAUAUGUUUAA